rnacentral:rRNA from 1 species
AUUGAACGCUGGCGGCAUGCUUUACACAUGCAAGUCGAACGGUAGAGGGGGCAACCCCUUGAGAGUGGCGAACGGGUGAGUAAUGCAUCGGAACGUGCCCAGUCGUGGGGGAUAACGCAGCGAAAGCUGUGCUAAUACCGCAUACGAUCUCUGGAUGAAAGCGGGGGACCGAAAGGCCUCGCGCGAUUGGAGCGGCCGAUGUCAGAUUAGGUAGUUGGUGGGGUAAAGGCCUACCAAGCCAACGAUCUGUAGCUGGUCUGAGAGGACGACCAGCCGCACUGGGACGGAGACACGGCCCAGACUCCUACGGGAGGCAGCAGUGGGGAAUUUUGGACAAUGGGCGCAAGCCUGAUCCAGCAACGCCGCGUGCAGGAAGAAGGCCUUCGGGUUGUAAACUGCUUUUGUACGGAACGAAACGGUCUGGGUUAAUACCCUGGGCUAAUGACGGUACCGUAAGAAUAAGCACCGGCUAACUACGUGCCAGCAGCCGCCGUAA